AGCAUCCGAAGCUAAAGGACGAAAAUUCCUUUUGGGUCACGUUGGCCAGGACUCAUGGUAUCUGAACCACUGGAAAUCGCAUCGGACAGACAGAACCGACCGAUCCAUAUUAUCGAGCCUGGCUUCUUCCCCUCCCUCUCCACGCUGCUUGUCCACCACCGGCCGCCGCCGUGGCCAGGCUGCCUCCACCGGCCAGCAAGCUACUGCUGCUGAUCCUCCAUGCACGACCUGCAACAGCCAACAACUCCGGCGAGCACAAGGACAACCUGAGCUUCUUCCCCUUCUCCAACUGCUGCUGCAAGUUCUUCCCCUUCUCCAACUUGUGCUACCCCAUCUCCUGAGUUAAUCACCAUCUAAAUCUCGCUCCCUUUUCCCCAUGUAGCUCGCUGUUUUUAAGUGCUGAAAUUGAGAACUUGUGUUGAACUUGAUUCCGACUGUCAAGUGUUUGAUGCAAUGCUCACAUGGAUUAGCAACAAGUUUCAUUCUGUCCCUGUCUUCUCCUUUGCUAAUCUGUCCAAGUCUUGACUUGUGAUGGAUUUGUGUUAGCUAUUGCAUCAUAGCUUUUGAAAAUUUCAUAAUAAUCUUGUUCUUGUUUUAGCCUAAUUCUCUAUGAUGAUAUUAUGUGUGUGUGUUUGUAGCCAAUUCUAUUCCUUUCCCAAACAAAUUGCUUAUGUCCCUGUCUUAUAUGUUUGCUCAUGAAUAAUUAUUGUGCUUAGUAUUCAUAUCUGCCCAGUGUUGCUUGAUUAAAGACAAUCACAAAAAAAUAUUACUUAGUGCUAGAUUGUUGCCCUUUAUUUUCAGUUUGCAUAUUACCCCUGUGAUUGCUUGAUCUAGAUUUAGUCGAAACUUAAUUGUUGAUCGCUUAGUCCCUGUGGAAAACAUGACAACCUGCAGUUUGGGAGGAAUUCUCACUGUUGUUUUACACUCGAUCAAAGAGACAACAGUAGCCGAGUAGCGGUCUGCUUUUGACAGCGUUCUAUCUCGAGGCGGAGGGCAUGGAACGGGGGAGGCACGUCAUACUUGGGCCGUCGGGGAAGCGGCGAUGCCCCUGCCGCCAUCGACGAGGCCCUCCUUCUCCUUCCGUUCCAAGAUCAACUGAGGCACCUGGUCAGAGAGCAACAGCAGAUCGAUGCUCAAUGCGAACGACUCCCCUUCCUCCUCGCCCACAGCCAUCGCGUGGCAGUACAACGCAGGAUACUACCCUCUCCUGUCUUCCUACGUUUUCUCUUUCCGAUGCCUCCUACUCUCAACUCUUAACGUGACCUCAUUUAUUUCUUUCCUAAUAAUGGUUUUAUGCAGGAGAGGAAGGUGCAUGCUGAACGCCGGUGAUCCUGAAGCACGGACAGAAACAUACACUCGAUCAGCUUUCGUCUAUAAACUGUUUUAAUUUCUGAGUCUCUGCCGACGUACGGUACAUAUAUAGAGGGAAAGAUGUAGGCGAGGAAGGGAAACACACGAUGAAAUGACCCGUUAAGCAUGCAGAGAACAAGCUAGGUGCAAUAUGGUUCGUACCAACGAGAUGUAUUUCCGAUGAUUUCGUCAAUUUUCAAGCUCGAACCAUAUAAAAUUGCUCUUGAGCAAACAUGACGUGACCAAAUGGCGUCGACAUAUGACUUAAAACUUGAGGUGGUUGAUGUCAUGGGCAUUGUCAUGUUCCGCGAGGCGUGCUGCCAUAGCAGAUUCUCUUUCAUUUGUCUUUCCUGCUCUUGAGCCUAUCUUUUAUUUUUGUUUUUUGGUCUCAUUUCCUAUAUCUAACUGGACUCUUUUUAGUUAAUUUAAUUAAUAGUUUAACACAAUAACAUGAUUGUCUAUGCAUGAACUGUUGCUCAAUUGUUGGCAAUCACACAAGAAUUCACGCUGCUACCAUGUUACCAGAAAAUGAUGGCAAACCGAGGCAACACAAUGCACAGUACAGAGCCUUCACCUUUUGAUGUAUGCAAGGAAGGUGUUGAACUGGCCUCAAGGAUCUUGAAGCAUGGAAGCGAGAAAGAGAAAAAUGAUGAAAUGACUUGUGAAGUACGGGUGCAAAAAACUAGCAGGGGUAUAUAAAUUCCUAGUCGUGCAGGGUGUUGAACUGGCCUCAAGGAUCUUGUACCUUCCACCUACAAAAAAUGAUACUAUAUCCUUUAUUAAUUGAAAUAUUCAUUUAGUAUAGGUACUAUAAUCAUUCAUCAUGCAUUUACGGCAAUUUUGUUUUUGUCAAUUUCCGAUCUCAAGCCAAUAUAUGACUUAAAACUUGAGGAGAUUGAGCUGAUGGGCAUUGUCGCAUUCACCGAGCUGAGGCAGAUUCUCGUUUUGGGGGCAUUCCGUUGUCGAACGAAAGCUUGAGGCCUUCGAGAUGCAUGUCUCUCUCACCAUCAGUUUGCCUUGACGGGUCAGUGGCGUGGGCUCGGGCCUCGGGCAACGGCAAUGCAAGGUCGAGCAAGCGGCAGCAGCAGCGGCCUGCUGCCGAUCGUGAUGAUCUCACGACGGAAGGCGUGGAGUGGGAGGAGGUAGUCCUACUUCCGCCGUCAGGGAGGCUACGAUGCCUCCGCCGCCGUGGAGGAGGCCAUCCUAGUACUCGUGUUCCAGGCUCCCCUACGACACCUGGUCAGACAACAGCCGCAGCUCGCUUCUCAAUAGAACCUCAUAUGCUUCCUCCUCGUCCACAGCCACGUCGCCAGCUCCAGGAAGCGGCCCCGUCGAAGCAAAGACCAUCGCAUGGCAUUACCAUCUACAAUACCAUUACCUCAUACCUUCUUAAGUGUUUUCUUUCUGAUGCCCCCUAUUCUCAUUUAUCCGUUUCCCUAACCGUGGUUGAAGCACGAGAGGAAGGUGCUGAAUUAACCUCGGUGAUCCUGAAGUAUGGACAGAACAUACAUCAACUCUCGUGUAUAAACUGAUUUUUCUUACAUCGUCUCUACUGAAUUAUAGUGUAGGAGAGAUAGGAAAGAUGCAGGGGAGAUGAAAUGCCCCGUGAAGUAUAAAGAGAACAAGUUUCAACGGGUGGUGGUGGUAUAUAAAAUGUUAGUCA